AUUGAACGCUGGCGGCAGGCCUAACACAUGCAAGUCGAACGAGUGGCGGACGGGUGAGUAAUGUCUGGGAAACUGCCUGAUGGAGGGGGAUAACUACUGGAAACGGUAGCUAAUACCGCAUACUAUCGGAUGUGCCCAGAUGGGAUUAGCUAGUAGGUGGGGUAAAGGCUCACCUGGGCGACGAUCCCUAGCUGGUCUGAGAGGAUGACCAGCAACACGGGAACUGGGCCACGGCCCAGACUCCUACGGGAGGCAGCAGUGGGAAAUAUUGCACAAUGGGGGAAAGCCGGAUGCAGCCAGGCCGCGUGGAUGAAGAGGGCCUUCGGGUUGUAAAGUACUUUCAGCGGGGAGGCGUUACCGGCAGAAGAAGCACCGGCUAACUCCGUGCCAGCAGCCGCGGUAAUAC
rnacentral:rRNA from 1 species